rnacentral:rRNA from 1 species
GAUGAACGCUGGCUACAGGCUUAACACAUGCAAGUCGAGGGGAAACGACGGGGAAGCUUGCUUCCCCGGGCGUCGACCGGCGCACGGGUGGGUAACGCGUAUCCAACCUGCCUCUGACUGAGGGAUAACCCGUCGAAAGUCGGCCUAAUACCUCAUGGCAUCGUCUGCGGGCAUCCAACGACGAUUAAAGAUUUCAUCGGUCAGAGAUGGGGAUGCGUCUGAUUAGCUUGUUGGCGGGGUAACGGCCCACCAAGGCGACGAUCAGUAGGGGUUCUGAGAGGAAGGUCCCCCACAUUGGAACUGAGACACGGUCCAAACUCCUACGGGAGGCAGCAGUGAGGAAUAUUGGUCAAUGGGCGAGAGCCUGAACCAGCCAAGUAGCGUGCAGGAUGACGGCCCUAUGGGUUGUAAACUGCUUUUAUGCGGGGAUAAAGUGAGGGACGUGUCCUUCAUUGCAGGUACCGCAUGAAUAAGGACCGGCUAAUUCCGUG